GACGAACGCUGGCGGCGUGCUUAACACAUGCAAGUCGAACGAUGAAGCCGGAGCUUGCUCCGGUGGAUUAGUGGCGAACGGGUGAGUAACACGUGAGCAAUCUGCCCUUGACUCUGGGAUAACUGCGGGAAACUGUAGCUAAUACCGGAUAACAUUUUGAACCGCAUGGUUCGAAAUUGAAAGGCGGCUUCGGCUGUCACUUAUGGAUGGACCCGCGUCGCAUUAGCUAGUUGGUGAGGUAACGGCUCACCAAGGCAACGAUGCGUAGCCGACCUGAGAGGGUGAUCGGCCACACUGGGACUGAGACACGGCCCAGACUCCUACGGGAGGCAGCAGUGGGGAAUAUUGCACAAUGGGCGCAAGCCUGAUGCAGCAACGCCGCGUGAGGGAUGAAGGCCUUCGGGUUGUAAACCUCUUUAGCAGGGAAGAAGCGAAAGUGACGGUACCUGCAGAAAAAGCACCGGCUAACUACGUGCCAGCAGCCGCCGCAG
rnacentral:rRNA from 1 species